CAGAUAAUUUACUGGGUAAUUAAUUUAUUUACAAUAAAUUUAAUUUUGUUCGAUUCAAAUUUGUCUGA
rnacentral:tRNA from 1 species